rnacentral:rRNA from 1 species
UACGGAGGGUGCAAGCGUUAAUCGGAAUUACUGGGCGUAAAGGGUAUGUAGGCGGAUGCUUAAGUCGAUUGUGAAAUCCCCGGGCUCAACCUGGGAACUGCAUUCGAUACUGGGCAUCUAGAGUAUGGUAGAGGAAAGUGGAAUUCCCGGUGUAGCGGUGAAAUGCGCAGAUAUCAGGAGGAACACCGAUGGCGAAGGCAGGUCUCUGGGCCGAUACUGACGCUGAGGAGCGAAAGCGUGGGGAGCGAACAGG